CAAAAUACCAAGGCGAUCGAGUGAAUCGUGGUUAAGGAAUUCGGCAAAAUACCCCCGUAACUUCGGGAGAAGGGGGGCCCAGAGGGUGACGGGACUUGCUCCCCGAGCCUGAACGGCCGCAGAGACCAGGGAGAAGCGACUGUUUACUAAAAACACAGGUCCGUGCCAAGUCGCAAGACGAUGUAUACGGACUGACGCCUGCCCGGUGCUGGAACGUUAAGGGGACCGGUUAGCCUCACGGCGAAGCUGAGAACUUAAGCGCCAGUAAACGGCGGUGGUAACUAUAACCAUCCUAAGGUAGCGAAAUUCCUUGUCGGGUAAGUUCCGACCUGCACGAAUGGCGUAACGACUUCUCCACUGUCUCAACCACGAACUCGGCGAAAUUGCACUACGAGUAAAGAUGCUCGUUACGCGCAGAAGGACGGAAAGACCCCGGGACCUUUACUACAGCUUGGUAUUGGUGUUCGGUACGGCUUGUGUAGGAUAGGUGGGAGACUGUGAAGCUGACACGCCAGUGUCGGUGGAGUCAACGUUGAAAUACCACUCUGGUCGUUCUGGAUAUCUAACCUAGGUCCGUAAUCCGGAUCAGGGACAGUGCCUGGUGGGUAGUUUAACUGGGGCGGUUGCCUCCUAAAAGGUAACGGAGGCGCCCAAAGGUUCCCUCAGCCUGGUUGGCAAUCAGGUUUCGAGUGUAAGUGCACAAGGGAGCUUGACUGUGAGACUGACAAGUCGAACAGGGACGAAAGUCGGGACUAGUGAUCCGGCGGUGGCUUGUGGAAGCGCCGUCGCUCAACGGAUAAAAGGUACCCCGGGGAUAACAGGCUGAUCUUGCCCAAGAGUCCAUAUCGACGGCAUGGUUUGGCACCUCGAUGUCGGCUCGUCGCAUCCUGGGGCUGGAGUAGGUCCCAAGGGUUGGGCUGUUCGCCCAUUAAAGCGGUACGCGAGCUGGGUUUAGAACGUCGUGAGACAGUUCGGUCCCUAUCCUCUGCGCGCGCAGGAAACUUGAGAAGGGCUGUCCCUAGUACGAGAGGACCGGGAUGGACGAACCUCUGGUGUGUCGGUUGUUCUGCCAAGAGCACCGCUGAUUAGCUACGUUCGGGAGUGAUAACCGCUGAAAGCAUCUAAGCGGGAAGCAUGCUUCAAGAUGAGGUUUCCAUGGGGUUUACCCCGAGAGGCUCCCAGCUAGACUACUGGGUUGAUAGGCCGGAUGUGGAAGUGCGGUAACGCAUGGAGCUGACCGGUACUAAUAAGCCGAUAACUUGACU
rnacentral:rRNA from 1 species